AGUGAACGCUGGCGGCGUGCCUAAUACAUGCAAGUCGAACGGAUUGUCUCACGGGUGAGUAAUGUAUAGCUAAUCUGCCCUACACUAGAGGCCAACAGUUGGCAACGACUGCUAAUACUCUAUAGUGUAGGAUGAGGCUAUAUUGUAUCAGCUAGUUGGUGAGAUAAUGGCUCACCAAGGCUAUGACGCAUAACUGGUCUGAGAGGAUGAUCAGUCACACGGGAACGGAGACACGGUCGAGAAUCCUACGGGAGGCAGCAGGAGGGAAUAUUGCUCAAUGGGGGAAACCAUGAAGCAGCAACGCCGCGUGGAGGAUGACACGUUUCGGAGCGUAAACUCCUUUUGUGAGGGAAGCGGUACCUAACGAAUAAGCACCGGCUAACUCCGUGCCAGCAGCCGCGGUAAUUC
rnacentral:rRNA from 1 species